AUCCAGAGUGUAAGAGUUACUCUCCAACAAUGGCAUCCGAAAGGGGAAAACCGUUGAGUUUAACCGCAACUGGAGUGAAGAUCCCGCCACUGCUCAGAGGACUACUGCGCUGCUUACUACUGAUCCUAGGAAUCCCACAUCCUCUUUCUGGCCUCCAAUACUGACCAUCAAUACUUCUCAGACCCCCUUCUCACCACCUCAGUUCUCCUGAUUCAUUAAUAUGCUAUCCUCCCUCCUAUAAAGGAAAUAUACC
rnacentral:lncRNA from 1 species